rnacentral:sRNA from 1 species
UGUCCUUCCAUUGUACUGGUGAGGAUCCCCCUGUUCCCCACUUCCUUCCUGCAUCAGCACCCAUCCUGCAGCAGAGGAUGGAGGAAACCCGCACCUAUGCCUGCAGGGGAGAAGUGGACGGGCUCAGGCCAGGGUGUAUCCAGCCCUAUAACCUGGUCCUCUCUACCCUAGAAUCCAUGGAGGCCUCAGCUCUCCCGCCAGCAGUGGGGGACUCCGGCAGAUACCCCCUCUACCAGCUGCUGAACUGUGGCUGUGGGAAUAGCUGUGGGGCCAUCCACCCAGACAUUGCCCACAUGGAGCAGCUCCUGCAGCAGGCCAUGGCGGAGAGGGAGCGGCUGCUCAAGGCCCGGGAAGGAACAAGAAGGGGCAUGGAAGGUUCCUCAGGCCCUGCUGUUCCUGCCAUCACGGCCCCGCCCACCCCACCCCACCCUCCAGGCCGGCGAAUCUUGGAUCUCCGGCAGCAUCUGGAGGGAUGGGGCCACAACCCAGAAAACUGCCCACAUGUGCAGGUGUCUGGGGGCUGCUGCCGCGGACCCCUGGUGAAGAU